AGUAUAUGGAGUAUUACACUUGCAUGAGACCCAUGCCUGCUGCCCGGGAGGGAAGAGUUUUGGAUGCCAGGAAAUGGAAGUAGUCAUACUGAUGCUACCCUGCACAAGGCUCUGUGUGUUUGGAGGUCCUUGAUCCCUGAAGGAGAAUGGUUUCACUAGGAGACAAAAUAAAAAUCCUAUUGAACUUUAAGUUAUUAUGGCUGCCUGGUCAUUUCAGUUCCCUCAUAUCAACAGACAAGAAGGCAAGGAAAGAAGAUAUGUCAAGGUCAUGGAUCUGUCCUGAAGAUGUUAUCAAGAGCAUAAGAAACAGAUCUGCUAUGAAAGUUCGGACUUAGAACUAGUACUUAAAG